UCAAGUACAAAAGAGCAUCAGGUGAAUGCCUAGGCACUGGGAGCCGAUGAAGGACGUGAUAAGCUGCGAAAAGCUAUGGUGAGGAGCACAUAUCCGUUGACCCAUAGAUAUCCGAAUGGGGGAACCCACCGGUGGUAAUGCGCCGGUAACAUAUGGUGAAUACAUAGUCAUAUGUGGGGAACGGGGUGAACUGAAACAUCUAAGUAGCCCUAGGAAGAGAAAGAAACAUCGAUUUUCAAAGUAGCGGCGAGCGAAAUGGAAAGAGGCCAAACCUAACUGCUUGCAGUUAGGGGUAAUGGGCCACCGCACGUUGAAGACUUAGUGAGCUGAAUAGUAUUGGAAAGUACAAACGAAGAGGGUAAAAUUCCCGUAAGCGAAGCGAAGUCGAGACAGGUGGAACCCGGAGUAGGACCGGACACGAGGAACCCGGUUUGAAGGAGGAGGGACCACCCUCCAAGCCUAAAUACUACCCAGUGACCGAUAGAGGAGAGUACCGUGAGGGAAAGGUGAAAAGAACCCCGGGAGGGGAGUGAAAUAGAAUCUGAAACCUAAUGCUUACAAGCGCAGGGAGCGAAAGUGACCUGGUACUUUUUGUAGAACGGGCCAACGAGUUAUGGUAUGUAGCAAGGUUAAGUUACUGGAGUAACGGAGCCGAAGAGAAAUCGAGUCUUAAUAGGGCGAAAGUUAUAUGCUGUAGACCCGAAACCGGGUGAUCUAUCCAUGAGCAGGUUGAAGUAAUCGUAAAAGGUUAUGGAGGACCGAACUUAUAUCUGUUGAAAAAGGUUAGGAUGACUUGUGGAUAGCGGUGAAAUUCCAAUCGAACUCGGAUAUAGCUGGUUCUCCUCGAAAUAGCUUUAGGGCUAGCCUCAAGGUUGAGAUACACGGGGGUAGAGCACUGAUUGUUCGCGGGGCCUUCACCGGCUACCAACAACUCUCAAACUCCGAAUACCGUAGUAUCAUACUUGGGAGUCAGACUAUGAGAGAUAAGUUCCAUGGUCGAAAGGGAAACAGCCCGGAUCAACAGCUAAGGUCCCAAAGAGUAAGUUAAGUGGAAAAGGAUGUGAGAUUGCACAGACAGCUAGGAUGUUGGCUUAGAAGCAGCCAUACAUUUAAAGAGUGCGUAAUAGCUCACUAGUCGAGUGAUGUUGCGCCGAAGAUAAACGGGGCUAAAACUUACCACCGAAGCUUUGGAAUUAAAAUAAAUUAAUUGGUAGAGGAGCAUUCUAUACGGGUAGAAGUUAAACUGAAAGGUUUGGUGGACUGUAUAGAAGAGAGAAUGUUGGCAUGAGUAGCGUAAGGCGGGUGAGAAUCCCGUCCGCCGAAAAUCUAAGGUUUCCUGAGGAAGGUUCGUCCUCUCAGGGUUAGUCGGGGCCUAAGCCGAGAGCGAAAGCUGUAGGCGAUGGACAACAGGUAGAAAUUCCUGUACCACCGAGGAUUGUAUGAAUGAAGUGGGGACACAGAAGGAUAGGUUGAGCACGCGGUUGGUAGAGCGUGUCCAAGCAGUGAGGCUUAUAUGUAGGUAAAUCCGCAUGUUUAAAGGUUGAGCUGUUACGGGGAGUCAAAAGAGACGAAGCAACUGAUUUCACGCUGUCAAGAAAAGCCGCUAAUUAGAUCCAAGGUGCCCGUACCGCAAACCGACACAGGUAGAUGAGGAGAGAAUCCUAAGGUGAGCGAGCGAACUAUUGUUAAGGAACUCGGCAAAAUAACCUCGUAACUUCGGGAGAAGGGGUGCCUGCUUUUGCAGGCCGCAGUGAAUAGGUCCAGGCAACUGUUUACCAAAAACACAGGUCUCUGCUAAAGCGAAAGCUGAAGUAUAGGGGCUGACGCCUGCCCGGUGCUGGAAGGUUAAGGGGAACUGUUAGCGCAAGCGAAGCAGUAAACUUAAGCCCCAGUAAACGGCGGCCGUAACUAUAACGGUCCUAAGGUAGCGAAAUUCCUUGUCGGGUAAGUUCCGACCCGCACGAAAGGCGUAAUG
rnacentral:rRNA from 1 species